rnacentral:tRNA from 1 species
AGAAGGGAAGUUGAAUAAUAUUAGCUUGUCAGGUUAAAGGAUGAAAAUGCCUCAA